CUUGGUCAUUUAGAGGAAGUAAAAGUCGUAACAAGGUAUCCGUAGGUGAACCUGCGGAUGGAUCAUUAUCACGUAUCCACGUAUCAACCAUUGUGAACUGUCUUUACCUUUGAGAAGUUUUGUGAGUGAUUGGGUUGGUCGAAAGAUCAGCUUGCUUCUCAAGGUGUAUUAAUCACUUCAUUAUUAACAACUUUAACCAAAAUUUUAAAUUUUUGAACUGAUCUAUUUCAUACUCUUCGGAGAUGAAAUUCAUUACGAAACAAAGAACAACUCUUAGCAACGGAUAUCUUGGUUCUCGUAACGAUGAAGAACGCAGCGAAAUGCGAUACGUAAUGCGAAUUGCAGAAUUCAGUGAAUCAUCAAAUCUUCGAACGCAAAUUGCGCUUUCUGGAUAGGCCAGAGAGCAUGCCUCUUUGAGCAUCGUUUCUACCCCAUCUCGGCAGCUUGCUGUCGGAGAAUGAGAUGUCUUGUUUUAACAAACAAGUCUCUUUAAGAAGCGUGAGUUCCUAAACUCCUAGAUCAAACCUUUUUAUGGGUUUAUUUUCUAGUGACAUGGAUAAUUUAUUUUAAUUAUGUCAUUAGUUAGUAAAACUGUUUAGAGGUCUAGGUAAGCUGGACUCGUCAGAAAAUUAAAUUUUUUUGAAUUAGAUCUCAAAUGAAGCAAGAUUACCCGCUGAACUUAAGCAUAUUAUUAAGCGGAGGAAAAGAAACUAACAAGGAUGCCCUCAGUAACGGCGAGUGAAGCGGGCAAAGCUCAACCUGAAAAUCGGGUUUCCAAACGGGAUCUCGAAUUGUGGGCUACAGACGCGUGAUCAGUGUGUGACCCGGGUAUAAGUGUUGUUGGAAAACGCUAUCAUAGAGGGUGAUAAUCCCGUCCGUGACCUGGAGUUCGCCACGUACGAUCCGCGUUCGCAGAGUCGCGUUGUUUGGGAUUGCAGCGCUAAAUGGGUGGUAAAUUUCAUCUAAAGCUAAAUAUCGACGAGAGACCGAUAGCGAACAAGUACCGUGAGGGAAAGAUGAAAAGAACUUUGAAAAGAGAGUUAAAAAGUACUUGAAAUUGCUAAGAGGGAAGCACUGGAAACCAGUCGUGAUUAGCCGUAUCUUUAAUGCCCGCUCCUGGAUCCUGUUCGAGUCGGAGAGCCCAAAGCCUCCUCUAGUUCAGGUGAAAAUGUGGGUAUGUCGUGCGGUUAGUCGAGUCAGAAUCAAUUUGACUUGUGAGAGAAAGCUAUCACAACGGUAGUUGGCCAGGGAGCAAUCUUUGGUUAAUGAUUAGUGUGGUAGUGCUAUCAUGGGUUAGAUUGAGGGACAAUCGAAAUGCGCACCACUUGGUUUGUGGGCCUAGUUCCCUGGAUGCUCAAGAAGCUUGGACAACAAAGUUGUGCGGUUUCUGAAAGCAACUACUGGUUCUGGUGUCUCAACAGCUGCAUUCGAGAUUCUGACGAAAUGGUUUUCAUUGACCCGUCUUGAAACACGGACC
rnacentral:rRNA from 1 species